UACAAGCAUAUUGGACAAGCAUAUUGU
rnacentral:sRNA from 1 species